AUUCCGUGAUGAGGGCACUUCCGUAAUAAUUCUUUGUACGUUUCUCAUGCCUCAUAAAAGGACUCAUUAUUCAUUUGUUAGAAAACAGUGAUCUCGUUCCUCAACUU
rfam:Gossypium raimondii chromosome 2, whole genome shotgun sequence.